rnacentral:SRP_RNA from 2 species
GCCAGGCAUGGUGGUGCACGCCUGUAAUCCCAGCUACUCAGGAGGCUGAGGCAGGAGAAUCGCUUGAACCCAGGAGGUGGAGGUUGAAGUGAGCUGAGAUCACACCACUGCACUCCAGCCUGGGCGACAGAGUGAGACCCUGCCUCAA